rnacentral:sRNA from 1 species
CUUCAGAACUUGAUGAUGAUGUUCCAAAAGCAACCUGCCUCUCCACUGAAAGCAGUGACACUCGGAAGGCCCCUGUCAUCACUCUUCCCUCAGAGGCAAGGGAACAAAUGGCCACCCUUGGAGAGAGGACAUUCAACUGUUGCUACCCAGGUUGCCACUUCAAAACUGUCCAUGGCAUGAAAGACUUGGACCGCCAUCUCAGAAUCCACACGGGAGACAAACCACACAAGUGUGAGUUCUGUGACAAGUGCUUCAGCCGGAAGGACAACCUGACCAUGCACAUGCGGUGCCACACCAGUGUGAAACCACACAAGUGUCACCUGUGUGACUACGCUGCCGUGGACAGCAGUAGCCUCAAGAAGCACCUGCGGAUCCACUCUGAUGAGCGGCCGUACAAAUGCCAGCUCUGCCCCUAUGCCAGCCGCAACUCCAGCCAGCUCACUGUCCACCUGCGAUCCCACACGGGUGAGUCCCUGACCAGGAAACCUCAGUCCCUUACUUUUUCUCUAAUUUCUUAACCUUCAUUUAUUUAACAACACAAGCAACUUAAAUGACUUGGUGUGGCAGAAGUACAAGAAUUUGGAACUUCUGU